rnacentral:rRNA from 1 species
CCUGAGGAUAAAGCCGAGAGGCGGUCGGGGACGGGCAUGCGUCCCAUUAGAUGGUAGGCGGGGUGACGGCCCACCUAGUCCACGAUGGGUAGGGGAUCUGAGAGGACGGUCCCCCACACUGGUACUGAGACACGGACCAGACUCCUGCGGGAGGCAGCAGUAAGGGAUAUUGGUCAAUGGGCGGAAGCCUGAACCAGCCAUGCCGCGUGAGGGAAUGAGGCCCUACGGGUCGUGAACCUCUUUUAUUCGGGGACAAGGACGCGGUCGGGAACCGUGUUUGAGGGUACCGAAGGAAUAAGCGUCGGCUAACUCCGUGCCAGCAGCCGCGGUAAUACGGAGGACGCGAGCGUUAUCCGGAUUCAUUGGGUUUAAAGGGUGCGCAGGCGGCUCGGCAAGUCAGCGGUGAAAGCCCGGGGCCCAACCCCGGAAGUGCCGUUGAUACUGUCGGGCUGGAAUGCGGUCGAGGCGGGCGGAACGUGGCGUGUAGCGGUGAAAUGCGUAGAUAUGCCACAGAACGCCGAUAGCGGAGGCAGCUCGCCAGGCCUGCAUUGACGCUCGGGCACGAAAGCGUGGGGAUCGA